rnacentral:rRNA from 1 species
UUCCGGUUGAUCCUGCCGGAGGUUACUGCUAUCGAGGUUCGACUAAGCCAUGCGAGUCGAAUGUAGCAAUACAUGGCGAACUGCUCAGUAACACGUGGACAACCUGCCCUUAGGUUGGGUAUAAACCCGGGAAACUGGGUAUAAUACCCGAUAGGUCUCGAUUGCUGGAAUGCAUCGAGAUUUAAAGCUCCGGCGCCUAAGGAUGGGUCUGCGGCCUAUCAGGUAGUAGUGGGUGUAGCGUACCUACUAGCCUACGACGGGUACGGGUUGUGAGAGCAAGAGCCCGGAGAUGGAUUCUGAGACACGAAUCCAGGCCCUACGGGGUGCAGCAGGCGCGAAAACUUUACAAUGCUGGCAACAGCGAUAAGGGAACCUCGAGUGCCAGGUUACAAAUCUGGCUGUCGAGAUGCCUAAAWAGCAKWUCAUAGCAAGGGCCGGGCAAGACCGGUGCCAGCCGCCGCGSUAACACCGGCGGCUCGAGUGGUAACCGUUAUUAUUGGGUCUAAAGGGUCUGUAGCCGGCCGGAUAAGUCUCUUGAAAAAUCUGGCAGCUUAACUGUCAGGCUUUCAGGAGAUACUGUCUGGCUCGAGGCCGGGAGAGGUGAGAGGUACUUCAGGGGUAGGGGUGAAAUCUUGUAAUCCUUGAAGGACCACCAGUGGCGAAGGCGUCUCACCAGAACGGACCUGACGGCAAGGGACGAAAGCUAGGGGCACGAACCGGAUUAGAUACCCGGGUAGUCCUAGCCGUAAACGAUACUCGCUAGGUGUCGGCCACGGUGCGACCGUUGUCGGUGCCGUAGGGAAGCCGUGAAGCGAGCCACCUGGGAAGUACGGCCGCAAGGCUGAAACUUAAAGGAAUUGGCGGGGGAGCACCACAACGGGUGGAGCUUGCGGUUUAAUUGGAUUCAACGCCGGG